rnacentral:tRNA from 1 species
UCCCUGGUGGUCCAGUGGUUAAGACUCUGCACUUGCACUGCAGGGGUGCAAGUUCAGUUCCUGAUAGGGAA